rnacentral:lncRNA from 1 species
UGUGUGUGUAUGGUGCAGCUCAGGGGAGGUAAACAACAUGUUGUACAGGAAGAAAGAGGGAGGAUUCAGAUCCGGCCAUGUCGGCAAGGCGACCAUGGUUCUUCACGCUGUCCUUGAUGUGUUCAGACUUCAGACCACCUGGUCAGCAAGCUGUGUAGGUGACUACUAGCCGAUCAUCAGUUUUGUUAUGUUCCCACUCAUAUAUAGCUCUUGUUACACGCUGUCGGGUGCUUGAUAUAUAAUCUGCACAAGAUCUGAAAAGCAAGCUGGUUGAUGCAUGUUUGUCAGCUUGUAGAUGAACCAACUUCCGAAAUUCUUCUCUUGUUCAUGAAAAAAUACUCAUUCUUCCGAAAUUCAGACUCGGCCAUGUCGGCAAGGCGACCAUGGCUCUUCGCGCUGUCCUUGAUGUGUUCAGACGACCUGGUCGGCAAACCGUCGCGAGCUUUGUCAGUGAUUACUAGCCGAUUAGCAGUUUUGUUGUGUUCCCACACAUAUAUAGCUCUUGUUACACUCCUAGUACAUGCAAGUGCAACAAUUAAUCCUACCUUGGAUUCGAUCAGAUUGUUUCCAAGGGCCGUCUGUUCUAUUCGGGUGCUUGAUAUAUAAUCUGCACAAGAUCUGAGCGCAAGCUGGUUGAUGCACGUUUACCAGCUUGAAGAUGAACCAACUUCAGAAAUUCUUCUCUUGUUUAUGAAAAAUACUCGUGUUAUUCAGCAAACAUAGAUAGCUCGUCUUGCACUGGGC